rnacentral:rRNA from 1 species
GACAGAGGUGCCAAGCGUUAGGCGGAAUCACUGGGCUUAAAGCGUGUGUAGGCGGAUUCCUAAGUACCUUGUGAAAUCCCACGGCUCAACCGUGGAACUGCUCGGUAUACUGGGUAUCUUGAGCCACUUAGGGGCGACCGGAACAAAUGGUGGAGCGGUGAAAUGCGCAGAUAUCAGGAAGAACACCUAUGGCGAAGGCAGCUCUCUGGGACGGUACUGACGCUGAGACGCGAAAGCGUGGGGAGCGAACAGG